rnacentral:tRNA from 1 species
GCCUAGUGGUUAAGGCUAUGGAUUGCCAACCCGGAGACGGCGGGUUCGAUUCCCGU